rnacentral:rRNA from 1 species
GAUGAACGCUGGCGGCGUGCCUAAUACAUGCAAGUCGAGCGAACGGACGAGAAGCUUGCUUCUCUGAUGUUAGCGGCGGACGGGUGAGUAACACGUGGAUAACCUACCUAUAAGACUGGGAUAACUUCGGGAAACCGUAGCUAAUACCGGAUAAUAUUUUGAACCGCAUGGUUCAAAAGUGAAAGACGGUCUUGCUGUCACUUAUAGAUGGAUCCGCGCUGCAUUAGCUAGUUGGUAAGGUAACGGCUUACCAAGGCAACGAUGCAUAGCCGACCUGAGAGGGUGAUCGGCCACACUGGAACUGAGACACGGUCCAGACUCCUACGGGAGGCAGCAGUAGGGAACCUUCCGCAAUGGGCGAAAGCCUGACGGAGCAACGCCGCGUGAGUGAUGAAGGUCUUCGGAUCGUAAAACUCUGUUAUUAGGGAAGAACAUAUGUGUAAGUAACUGUGCACAUCUUGACGGUACCUAAUCAGAAAGCCACGGCUAACUACGUGCCAGCAGCCGCGGUAAUACGUAGGUGGCAAGCGUUAUCCGGAAUUAUUGGGCGUAAAGCGCGCGUAGGCGGUUUUUUAAGUCUGAUGUGAAAGCCCACGGCUCAACCGUGGAGGGUCAUUGGAAACUGGAAAACUUGAGUGCAGAAGAGGAAAGUGGAAUUCCAUGUGUAGCGGUGAAAUGCGCAGAGAUAUGGAGGAACACCAAUGGCGAAGGCGACUUUCUGGUCUGUAACUGACGCUGAUGUGCGAAAGCGUGGGGAUCAAACAGGAUUAGAUACCCUGGUAGUCCACGCCGUAAACGAUGAGUGCUAAGUGUUAGGGGGUUUCCGCCCCUUAGUGCUGCAGCUAACGCAUUAAGCACUCCGCCUGGGGAGUACGACCGCAAGGUUGAAACUCAAAGGAAUUGACGGGGACCCGCACAAGCGGUGGAGCAUGUGGUUUAAUUCGAAGCAACGCGAAGAACCUUACCAAAUCUUGACAUCCUUUGACAACUCUAGAGAUAGAGCCUUCCCCUUCGGGGGACAAAGUGACAGGUGGUGCAUGGUUGUCGUCAGCUCGUGCCGUGAGAUGUUGGGUUAAGUCCCGCAACGAGCGCAACCCUUAAGCUUAGUUGCCAUCAUUAAGUUGGGCACUCUAAGUUGACUGCCGGUGACAAACCGGAGGAAGGUGGGGAUGACGUCAAAUCAUCAUGCCCCUUAUGAUUUGGGCUACACACGUGCUACAAUGGACAAUACAAAGGGCAGCGAAACCGCGAGGUCAAGCAAAUCCCAUAAAGUUGUUCUCAGUUCGGAUUGUAGUCUGCAACUCGACUACAUGAAGCUGGAAUCGCUAGUAAUCGUAGAUCAGCAUGCUACGGUGAAUACGUUCCCGGGUCU